UACGAAGGGGGCUAGCGUUGUUCGGAUUUACUGGGCGUAAAGCGCACGUAGGCGGACUAUUAAGUCAGGGGUGAAAUCCCGGGGCUCAACCCCGGAACUGCCUUUGAUACUGGUAGUCUUGAGUUCGAGAGAGGUGAGUGGAAUUCCGAGUGUAGAGGUGAGAUUCGUAGAUAUUCGGAGGAACACCAGUGGCGAAGGCGGCUCACUGGCUCGAUACUGACGCUGAAGUGCGAAAGCCAGGGGAGCGAACGGG
rnacentral:rRNA from 1 species